rnacentral:lncRNA from 1 species
UCUCAUCCAAUCGGAACAACUCGGCCUUUCUGGUUGCACGAAGAAAUAACCUCGUAUGCAUUAGGCGGAGGAAUCAUUGUCCGGAAAAUUUUCCGAUUCGAUUCAAAAUUAUAUUUUUUCGACUGGACUGGUACAUUUUUUUACCACUACUGAUUUAACUUGCUCCUGUCCGGAAAAUUUUCCGAUCCGAUUGAAUUUUAUAUUUUUUCGACUGGAAUGGUACAAAUUUUUUACCAUUACUUAUUUACUUUGCUCCUUCUUUCGCGCCAAAAUAUUUGGCAGAGUUAAAGUUCUUGAUUACUGUGAUAUGUAACCAAAUUAUAGCGCCACCUGGAGGAUAGAACUUCUUUGUGUCGCGGAUCACUACAAUUCCGGCCAACAAUUUAAGAAGAAUUUCUCCGUAGUGCAUACGAGGCUAUUGUACUGCGUAGCGAGAAUGGCCGAGUAGUUACGAUUGCAAUCUCAUCAUACAACAA